rnacentral:rRNA from 1 species
AACGAACGCUGGCGGCAUGCCUAACACAUGCAAGUCGAACGAGACCUUCGGGUCUAGUGGCGCACGGGUGCGUAACGCGUGGGAACCUGCCCUUAGGUUCGGAAUAACUCCCCGAAAGGGGUGCUAAUACCGGAUAAUGUCUUCGGACCAAAGAUUUAUCGCCUUUGGAUGGGCCCGCGUUGGAUUAGCUAGUUGGUAGUGUAAAAGCCUACCAAGGCGACGAUCCAUAGCUGGUCUGAGAGGAUGAUCAGCCACACUGGGACUGAGACACGGCCCAGACUCCUACGGGAGGCAGCAGUGGGGAAUAUUGGACAAUGGGCGAAAGCCUGGUACAGCCAUGCCGCGUGAGUGAUGAAGGCCUUAGGGUUGUAAAGCUCUUUUACCCGGGAUGAUAAUGACAGUACCGGGAGAAUAAGCUCCGGCUAACUCCGUG